rnacentral:rRNA from 1 species
UAAUACGUAGGGGGCAAGCGUUGUCCGGACUUACUGGGCGUAAAGCGCGUGCAGGCGGAUUGGUAUGUGCCGUGUGAAAGCUCUCAGCUUGCCUGGGAGAGGUCGCGGUAGACAGCCGAUCUGGAGGCUCGGAGAGGUCAGUGGAAUUCCCGGUGUAGUGGUGAAAUGCGUAGAUAUCGGGAGGAACACCAGUGGCGCAAGCGGCUGACUGGCCGAGACCUGACGCUGAGACGCGACGGCGUGGGGAGCAAACCGGAUUAGAUACCCGGGUAGUCCACGCAGUAAACGAUGCACACCCGGUGUCGGACCGACUGUUAAGGUCGGUGCGGUGCCCAAGCUUACGCGAUGAGUGUGCCGCCUGGGGACUACGAGCGCAAGCUU